rfam:Mesocricetus auratus contig054483, whole genome shotgun sequence.
CUGGAGAUGGCUCAGCGGUUUAGAGCACUGGCUGCUCUUUCAGAGGAUCUGGGUUCAAUUCCCAGCACCCACA